UCCACUGGCUCAGUGGCAGAGCAACUGCUUUGGAUGCAGAAGGUCCCUGGUUCAGUCCCCAGCAUCUCCAGGUAGGAA